CCCUUAGACGUUCUGGGCCGCACGCGCGCUACACUGACCAGUGCAACAAGCAUCCGUCCUUGGCCGACAGGCUCGGGCAAUCUUUGAACGCUGGUCGUGAUGGGGAUAGACUUUUGCAAUUUUUGGUCUUCAACGAGGAAUUCCUAGUAAACGCAAGUCAUCAACUUGCAUUGAUUACGUCCCUGCCCUUUGUACACACCGCCCGUCGCACCUACCGAUUGAAUGGUCCGGUGAAGCCUCCGGAUUGGCGCGCACCUCGGUGCCGCCGAGAAGUUGGCUAAACCUUACCAUUUAGAGGAAGUAAAAGUCGUAACA
rnacentral:rRNA from 1 species